rnacentral:rRNA from 1 species
GAGUUUGAUCUUGGCUCAGAUUGAACGCUGGCGGCAGGCUUAACAUAUGCAAGUCGAGCGGGGGAGAUUGCUUCGGUAAUUGACCUAGCGGCGAACGGGUGAGUAAUACUUAGGAAUCUGCCUAUUAAUGGGGGACGAACAUCUCGAAAGGGAUGCUAAUACCGCAUACGCCCUACGGGGAAAGGACAGGGAGUCACUUGUGACCUUGCGUUAAUAGAUGAGCCUAAGUCGGAUUAG